rnacentral:lncRNA from 1 species
CUCACCAGCUCGCUCCCGACUUCAGCUGAAAGUCAUCAUCGUUCCGCGCGUCAGCGAGAAAUCCCAAGAAUCGGGUGAAGACGAAGCUAGCAGCGCGAUAUUCCCCAAGCGCUCGACAAAUUGCCUGGAUCGGAAAAUCGCUAUCGAUCUCGCGGAUUCGUGUCAGCUGUGGAAAUGGUAAGCUGAUAAAUUAUUCAGAAUAGUUCGAUCAAUGAAUAAAUUAAUGUGCUAGUGUGAUGCUUAUUAAGGUGCUCGAUAAAUUGCGUAAGUCACGAAACUCUCGUCGACUUGGCAGUUCUUGCGAUUAUCGAGCCAGGUUCAGUUAUAGCGAGUUAUUUCGCUAUUCCGGUCAAUUAGCUGAAUUAAUAUACCGAGUAGAAUAUUAGUAGGCAUGUGUGAUAAAGAAAUGUUUGAUUAAUUGUGGACAUGUAAAAUAUGUGAGGAGUAAAAUAAAAUUAAAAUAGUUCUUUGUGAACGAUGUAGUGUCAUUUAUAAAAUGAGGGAUAAGUUUAGAAUUUAAUUAAUUAAUUGAUAAGUUGUGAUUAGGCUAAUUGUAUUUCAUGUGUAUAGUUUGUGGUUGGUGAUGUUUGCGUUAGAUUCGAGAAGCGUAAUUAUUGCGCUUAAUUGUAGAUAAUUAGUGUCUCCGUAUGAAAUUGUUCAACGUCUCACCGCUAGGUGUUUAAUUCGCUAUCACGAGCACUAUCUAGGUUUGCGAUAUUUAUGUUUAUAUGCAUUCAUGUGCAUAAUGUAUCUCAUUCAGGUACGUGAAUUAACCACGCGAUGCGGAGAACCAGAACUGAGUCGACCACAAGAUGGUGCUGAUGAACGGAACUGGAGAUGGACAGACGAAGCAAGUAUCUGGACAAAGGAUGGUCGUCAAGUGAUCGUCGUCUAACAAACACUAACGAAGUGUUUAUUCCAGGCAAGCCCCGGUGCAUGCAACCCCUUCCUUGUGUUUUUAAAUAAUUUCUGCACACUUUAAGUCUAGUGAAAUUUGCAUUAGGUUUAUAGGAGUUGCUUGGAACCCUUUGAUGCAUUGCCUUCCUUGAUAUCCAUACCUUUAUAGAUACUUCUGGUGAAGUAUCAAAAUAUGAUUUACAAAAAUGCUUAGCUCUGCUUAGAUCUUGUGGGUAGAAGUUGUCUUUCGCAAUAAGGCCUAGCUUAGGGGUUAUCCUGAGGAAAGAUGGCUUCUACAUGCAAGAAUAUUUUCAUUGGGAGCGUGGUGGAAUCUUACUGCAAAGUUCCCUAUAAUGCUCUUUUCGUCCUAAGGAAAACAAACAAUCCUAAGGAUCAAAGUACUUAAAUCGGGACUUGGGCUAGGAACAGGUGAUGUUCUACCCAGGUUGAUUAAGAUUGGAUGCGUAUGUAGGCUUGAUGAUCGAGGACCCUUUAACUGGUCACAUGCCUCGUCAUGGGUAAGCUUUGCCUCGGGCAGACUAAGGCCAGAAUAAGAUAACACGGAAUGGGCGUGGAGCGGUGGCGAGAGUAGCGUGUACCCUCCGUGGCAAGAGGCUGGACGGUGGUGUAUCUGUGCUCUCGGUUGGCGUGAACCUGAUCUGGUCUUAAGAACCCCGGUGGCGGGUUGACAUAUGCAAGGGUUAAGUGCUACAUAUGUCGUGUGAUCGGAGAUCCUCAGCUAAGUAUAAUCGAUUCGGAUCGCCGUACAUUCGCGGUUAUGAAGACUUGGUCACUGCCCUACAACCUAAGUCAGGAUGUGAACCUCAUGAAUAAAAAUGAUGUUGUAUUGAUGAGAUGGUGAAAUUAGACCAGAUGCAAACAGAGUCUAUUGAUAUUUAAUCUGGCGUUAAAAUAUUGAAAGUAAGGACUCACUUUAGUAAGCUAUUUCUGCAAAAGUAUCUAAGUUGAUUCUUGCUAAAGCCUCUCCUUGAUUCCCAAAUCCAGCAUAUCCUUGAGAGUCUUUUCUUUAGUCGGGUAAGUCUUGCUGAGUAAUUCCAUACUCAGGGUUUUAUUCCCUGUUGUUUUUCAGGUUUUAACUUUGUGCUGUUGUUGAUGGUGUUAAGUGCCGGUGGGCUCGGCCUUCUUAUAAGUCUAAGUAACUCUUCUAUACUUCUUAUUGAGGAUGGUCACUUGAGCUAGCAUAUAUUUCAAACUUAUACUUUUGUAAUCACUCCGAUAAAAUAAUAUAAAACUUUUGUAACCUGUAAAAUUUGGUAACAAGAUUUCGGCUGCAAAAAUGUUGGUGUGUGUGAUUUGUGUUACUUAAUCUUGCGGUCCUGGUUGUAAGUGGUUUAUCCGAUGUCCUUGGGCAAUCGGAUGGAUCCUGUUAAGUUAUCUGGUGCACAUGCAUAGCCGUCUAAGGUCUUUGAGACAAGGACAGGUGCAUGUGGGCCCAAUAACUUGGGAGGUUCUGCCACAGCUGCAAUGCAACCCCUUGCCCUGAAGCUUUCUUCGGCGGCAUGACGAAGGUCACAGCUUGCCGAAGGUGGUCGAAUGAGUUCACCGGAGGUGGGCGCCAAUGUUGGGGACUUGUUCUCAAAUGCUAUGAGUUAAGAAAAAGGCAACACAAAACGUUAGUGCUUAAAGUCCUUUGUCCUUCGAAGCAUUAUCUCCCUUAGGAUAUAAUGAUCUUCAGACGAAGGUUUUGAAGGACGUACCUUCAUCAUCACAGUGUAUAUUAAUGGAAGUAGAAGCAUAUGAAACAUGAGAAAUAACAUGAAUAAUCAUAUAACAUCACUAAUAUAUCUUUAUUAUAUCAUCAUGAAUGAACACGAAUGAUAUUGAAUUACAUUUAUACCUUCGGCUUGAUAGAAGGCAAAAGUCCAAGUGUGACGCGCGAGGGAAUACAAGUCCGCGUGAACAGUACGGUGCUACUAUUCAUCUAUUUAUAGGCAUAGGGCGCAGCCUGUGUAAAAUUACAUUCAUGCCCUUCAUGUUUACUAUUGACUCAAGGACAAUCUAUCGAGGACUAGAUAGCCUUUUCCUCUUUAAGUCGGUUCCGUUUUCUGCUGCUAAGCCGAAGCUUCCCUGCGUGUAGCUUCGGAACUGGUUCAUCCUUCGUCCCGAUCAUGCUUUUCAUAUUGUGUAUAGCUUCAUUCCGAGUCCGAAGAUUCCUGUACAUAUAUUAUACUUGGGAAACAUGUUAAUCGUGUUUUUGAGGACCUUCGGAAGACGAAGGCCCCCAACAGGUGUGGAGGUGACGCCUUGCUCCAAGUUGACAAUGUGUUUGGAGUCUUUGAUCAUUAGUUCAAAGUUCACAAACUUGCCAAUAACCUUCUCGAGAGAUAUUAGUUUAUAUCUAGGAUCCUCACGUAUUAAUUGAACUUGAGUAGGAUUGUGAAAUACAAGGGAUCUAAGAAUAACCUUGACCAUCUCAUGGUCAUCCCAUUUGGUGCUCCCGACGUUGCGCACUUGGUUGACCAUUGUCUUGAGCCAGUUGUACAUGGCUUGCGACUCUUCCCCUUUGUUGAGGACGAAUCGACCGAGUUCUCCCUCGAUCGUCUCGCACUUGGUGAUCUUAGUCACCUCGUCCCCUUCGUGUGCGGUUUUUAGAACGUCCCAAAUUUCUUUGGCACUCUUUAACCCUUGCACCUUAUUAUACUCCUCUUGACAUAAAGAGGCGAGGAGUAUAGAAGUUGCUUGGGAGUUAAAGUGCCUAAUUUGGGCAGUCUCAUCCGAGUCGUAGUCUUUGUCCCCCACCUUUGGUACCUACGCUCCAAAUUCAACGAUGUCCCAUAUGCUUUCGUGGAGUAAGGUUAGAUGAUGCCUCAUUUUGUCACUCCACAUACAAUAAUCCUCACCAUCAAAAUAUGGUGGUUUUCCUAAGGGAACGGAAAGUAAUGGAGUGCGCUUUGAAAUACGGGGAUAGCAUAGGGGCAUCUUACUAUACUUCUUUCGCUCAUGGCGCUUAGAAGUAGUGGACGACUCGGAGCUUGAUGUGGAGGGUGACAAAGAUUCGGUCUCGUAGUAGACCACCUUCUUCAUCUUCUUCUUGUCACCUCUUCGAUGCGACUUGAUGGAGGAAGAUGAUUCCUCCUUGUGUUUGUUGUCGGACUCCCUUGAGAGAGUCCUCCCCGAGCUUGUGGCCUUUUCGCCAGUCAUGAUCUCCCUCUUGGCGUGAUCUCCAGACAUCACUUCGAGUUGGUUAGACUCUUAAUGAAGCACUAACUCCGAUACCAAUUGAAAGUCGCCUAGAGUGGGGGUGAAUAGGCGAAACCUGAAAUUUAUAAACUUAAACACACACUAAGGUCGGGGGUUAGCGUUAGAAUUAAAUUCAAGUCCAAAAGAAUAUCUCAAAUUCACACUAGCAAGGGAACAUUAGAGAGGGGAAAACAAAUCAAACAAGAAUCAAGGUGAGUGAACACGAUGAUUUGUUUUACCGAGGUUCGGUUCCAAAGAACCUAGUCUCCGUUGAGGAGGUCACAAAGACCGAGUCUAUUUCAACCCUUUCCCUCUCUCAAACGAUCACUUAGACUGAGUGAGCCUUUUCAUUAAUCUCUUGGGUCACUUAGACACCGCAAGGAUCACCACGCACUUAGGUGUCUCUUGCGUCGAUUACAAGUCACUUGAGAAAUAGAAGGGAAAAGAAAAAAGGCCAAACCAAGCGACAAGAGCAACAAAGAACACAAUUGAUCCUCUCACAAGCCCUAAUGCACUAGAGUUGAUUUUGGGGCUUUGAGUGGAUUGAUUGCUUUGAUUGUGUCUUGGAGUGUUGGACUUUGCUCUUGCAAUGAAUGAGAAUUCAGAAAUGCUUGGAUGGAAGUGAAUGAGGUGGUUGGGGGUAUUUAUAGCCUCCCAACCACUUCUAGCCGUUGGCUGAAUUGUGCUAGCGAUGGGCGCAGUCAUUGUGCACUGUCCGGUGCGCGCCACAUCAGCGCAACCGUUAGGGUUCGGAGCUGGUCGACCGUUGGAGCCUUUGUCGUCUUGCUGCACCGGACAGUCCGGUGCCCUCUGACUUCUGCGCUUCUGACUCUGUCACGGCACUGUUGCGCACUGUUGCUUUUGCAGAGUCGACCAUUGGCGCAGGGAGUCGUUGAUCCGCUGGCUCACCGGACUAUCCGGUGGCACACCGGACAGUCCAGUGAAUUAUAGCAGAGCGCGUCCUAGAAUUCCCGAGAGUGACUGGUUCGGAAUUGUACGGCCUGGCGCACCGGACAGUGUCCGGUGCACCAUUUUCCAGCACACUCAAGUCCUUUUGCUCCAAUUAAAUUGUGUCCCUAACUUGAUUUCUUUCUUGGUUUAUGUUAAACCUUAUGCACCUGUAAUACAUGAGUUCUAGACAAACUAGUUAGUCCACGUGUUUGCGUUGGUCAUUAAACACCAAAAUUAAUUAUAGGAAAUGGUUAACCCUAUUUCCCUUUCAUAUAGCCCCAACCACUAUUCUAGUCGUUGUUGUCGAUGGCACACCGGACAGUCCGGUGGUGCACCGGACAGGGUAUUGUUCACUGUCCGGUGCAUGCCACGUCAGCAGACCGUUGGGGUUUGGAGCGGUUGACCGUUGAAGUCUUUUGUUCUCAUGCUGCACCGGACAUGUCUGGUGCGUUCUGACUUCGUAGCUCUAACCUCUGACUUCUGUACUGUGCGCUUUUACUGUUCACCACAGUCGACCGUUGAGCGUAGGUGACCGUUGCUCUGUUGGCUCACCGGACAUGUUCGAUGUACACCAGACAGUCCGAUGAAUUAUAGCAGAGCGUCCCUCUGAGAAACCCGAGAGUGGCCAGUUUGCGAGGUGCUUGGCCUAGGCACCGGACAGUGUCCGGUGCACUCCGGACAGUGUUCGGUGCGCCACUGGCAGCACCAUUGCUAGUCUUUGCUCCAAUCUUUGUUGAGUUCCCAACUUAAUUUCUUUCUUGGUUUAUGUUGAACCUUAUGCACCUGAAAUAAAAUACAUCUAGGCAAACUAGUUAGUCCACGUGGUUUGUGAUGGACGUCAAACACCAAAAUCGAUUAUAGGAAAUGUUUUAAGCCCAUUUCCCUUUCACUUACAUUUAGUAACUGCUGAUAAAAUUUGACCAACUUAUUAAAAGCAAUGCUCAGCUUUAACCCUUAUUUGUUGAUCAGCCUUACACUUCACAUGAACUCCCACCUUUGGUGAGUUCAUGCACAUUAUUCCCCACAACUUGUUGAGCUAUAAUCUUUUGUGAGCUCACUCUUGCGAUAUAUAACCCCCCCCCCCAUAG